UACGUAGGGUGCAAGCGUUAAUCGGAAUUACUGGGCGUAAAGCGUGCGCAGGCGGUUGUGCAAGACCGAUGUGAAAUCCCCGGGCUUGACCUGGGAAUGGCAUUGGUGACUGCACGGCUAGAGUGUGUCAGAGGGGGGUAGAAUUCCACGUGUAGCAGUGAAAUGCGUAGAGAUGUGGAGGAAUACCGAUGGCGAAGGCAGCCCCCUGGGAUAACACUGACGCUCAUGCACGAAAGCGUGGGGAGCAAACAGG
rnacentral:rRNA from 1 species